rnacentral:sRNA from 1 species
AUGAAGAUGCAGAGGCAGAACAGGGACGAUGAGCCUA